GGCGCGGUAGCUCAGUUGGUUAGAGCGAUCGACUCAUAAUCGAUAGGUCGGGAGUUCAAGUCUCCCUCACGCCACCA
rnacentral:tRNA from 2 species